AGUGAACGCUGGCGGUAGGCCUAACACAUGCAAGUCGAACGGUAACAGGCCUUCGGGUGCUGACGAGUGGCGAACGGGUGAGUAAUGCAUCGGAACGUACCCAGAGGUGGGGGAUAACGCAGCGAAAGCUGUGCUAAUACCGCAUGUGAUCUGAGGAUGAAAGCGGGGGACCGAGCAGCAAUGUUUGGCCUCGCGCCUUUGGAGCGGCCGAUGUCGGAUUAGCUAGUUGGUGGGGUAAAGGCCUACCAAGGCGACGAUCCGUAGCUGGUCUGAGAGGAUGAUCAGCCACACUGGAACUGAGACACGGUCCAGACUCCUACGGGAGGCAGCAGUGGGGAAUAUUGGACAAUGGGCGCAAGCCUGAUCCAGCCAUACCGCGUGGGUGAAGAAGGCCUUCGGGUUGUAAAGCCCUUUUGUUGGGAAAGAAAAGCAGCAGGUUAAUACCCCGCUGUUCUGACGGUACCCAAAGAAUAAGCACCGGCUAACUUCGUG
rnacentral:rRNA from 1 species